UACGUAGGGGGCAAGCGUUGUCCGGAUUUAUUGGGCGUAAAGAGCGUGUAGGCGGUCAGGUAGGUCUGCUGUGAAAACUCGAGGCUUAACCUCGAGCUGUCGGCGGAAACCAUCUGGCUAGAGUCCGGAAGAGGAGAAUGGAAUUUACGGUGUAGCAGUGAAAUGCGUAGAUAUCGUAAGGAAGACCAGUGGCGAAGGCGAAUCUCUGGACAGUUACUGACACUGAGGCACGAAGGCCAGGGGAGCAAACGGG
rnacentral:rRNA from 1 species